AACGAACGCUGGCGGCAUGCCUAACACAUGCAAGUCGAACGGGAUCCUAGCUUGCUAGGUGAGAGUGGCGGACGGGUGAGUAACACGUGGGAAUCUGCCUUUUGGUUCGGGAUAACCGCGGGAAACUGCGGCUAAUACCGAAUGCCCUCGAGAGAGGAAAGAUUUAUCGCCAGAAGAGGAGCCCGCGUCCGAUUAGGUAGUUGGUGGGUAAAGGCCUACCAAGCCGACGAUCGGUAGCUGGUCUGAGAGGAUGAUCAGCCACACUGGGACUGAGAUACGGCCCAGACUCCUACGGGAGGCAGCAGUGGGGAAUAUUGGACAAUGGGGGCAACCCUGAUCCAGCAAUGCCGCGUGAGUGAUGAAGGCCUUAGGGUUGUAAAGUCCUUUCGGCGGGGACGAUGAUGACGGUACCCGCAGAAGAAGCCCCGGCUAACUUCGUGCCAGCAGCCGCGGUAAU
rnacentral:rRNA from 1 species